GUUAAUAUAGUUUAAAAAAACGCCAGACUGUGAAUCUGAAGAUAGGGUAUAAAAUCCUUAUUAACC
rnacentral:tRNA from 1 species